rnacentral:rRNA from 1 species
AUGCAGUCGAGCGGACAGAUGGGAGCUUGCUCCCUGAUGUUAGCGGCGGACGGGUGAGUAACACGUGGGUAACCUGCCUGUAAGACUGGGAUAACUCCGGGAAACCGGGGCUAAUACCGGAUGGUUGUUUGAACCGCAUGGUUCAAACAUAAAAGGUGGCUUCGGCUACCACUUACAGAUGGACCCGCGGCGCAUUAGCUAGUUGGUGAGGUAACGGCUCACCAAGGCAACGAUGCGUAGCCGACCUGAGAGGGUGAUCGGCCACACUGGGACUGAGACACGGCCCAGACUCAUACGGGAGGCAGCAGUAGGGAAUCUUCCGCAAUGGACGAAAGUCUGACGGAGCAACGCCGCGUGAGUGAUGAAGGUUUUCGGAUCGUAAAGCUCUGUUGUUAGGGAAGAACAAGUACCGUUCGAAUAGGGCGGUACCUUGACGGUACCUAACCAGAAAGCCACGGCUAACUACGUGCCAGCAGCCGCGGUAAUACGUAGGUGGCAAGCGUUGUCCGGAAUUAUUGGGGCGUAAAGGGCUCGCAGGCGGUUUCUUAAGUCUGAUGUGAAAGCCCCCGGCUCAACCGGGGGAGGGUCAUUGUAAACUGGGGAACUUGAGUGCAGAAGAGGAGAG